GCUGGGUAAGUGUGUGACAAAUGUUUAGGAAAAUCCUCCUGGCUAACCAGAGAGCUAUGUAGUAAUGUUACUAUUUUGCUGAUACCUUUCCAGUUCUUUCAGAUUUUGCAAGAGGGACUCAACAAGGGUGUAGGAGAGGUGGCAAGGGAUUGGUUUGGAACCAGGCCCAGGAACCCCUCAGGCUAUCUGGAAGUGCUUCUUAAGAUUCAGACUCAGAUUCGCUCUUUGUCUUUUAUCUCUCUAUUGCUCUUUUUCAUCUUCAUCAUUUCCCCCUUUGGAAAAACUGCGUCCUGAUAGGAGUUUCUCUGUGUCUGUGUGUUUCAUUUGGUCCUUACCACCUGCCCUCCUCCUCCUACCGGGGCUGUCUUCCGUCCUGCCAGGUCUGUUUUCAAGCCUUUUAUCUUCUCUGAGUCUGUGACCCCAGUGUCGUGGGUGAUCUCCCCACAGUACGGCCCAGACGACCCGGUCAGGAAGCAGCCGCGCUUCCAGAGCCUAGUGGACCGCAGGCACGACCUGUACAAGGCCCAUGAGGGGGCCCUGCAGACUAUGGAGACCAACCCGGACGCAGGGAAUGCUCUGACUGAGACGUUGAGGAUGUUGGAGGGCCAGUGUCUGACGGACAUAUCAGCCCUGCUCAGUGGAGAAACACCAGCAGAAGAGGAACUGGGGGACCUGUUCUUUGACUGUGUGGACACGGAGCUGAAGUUCUACCAGUGAGGAGCGCCCUCAUGUGGAGAUCGCUAGUGCUCGCAGAUCGGCAGGAGAUGGCCCUGGGACUGUUUCGUCCUGUGCUCCUGUUAGAUUGGCUCCCUCCCGUCUCAUGCACUAGAACCCUCUUGAUGCCAUUCCAUCCAUCAUUGACACAGAAUAUAAAUGUCUUAACGUUCCAUGGGAUUGGAGCAUCAUUGUCAUUUGUAUCACUUUAGGGAGCAACGCUCGCCCCACAUUAGUGAGUAUGUGAUAGACCACUACAGGAGUGUACAGUUCCAGUCAAAAGUUUGGACACACCUACUCAUUCAAGUGCUUUUCUUGUUUGACUAUUUUCUACAUUGUAGAAUAAUAGUUAAGAUGUCAAAACUAUAAAAACACAUAUGGAGUCAUGU